UACGUAGGGGGCAAGGCGUUGUCCGGAUUAUUGGGCGUAAAGAGCGUGUAGGCGGCCAAGCAGGUCCGCUGUGAAAACUCGAGGCUCAACCUCGAGACGUCGGUGGAAACCGUUUGGCUAGAGUCCGGAAGAGGAGAGUGGAAUUCCCGGUGUAGCGGUGAAAUGCGCAGAUAUCGGGAAGAACACCCGUGGCGAAGGCGGCACUCUGGGACGGUACUGACGCUGAGACGCGAAAGCGUGGGGAGCGAACGAGG
rnacentral:rRNA from 1 species